rnacentral:rRNA from 1 species
UACGGAGGGGGCUAGCGUUGUCCGGAGUUACUGGGCGUAAAGCGCGCGUAGGCGGCCAUUUAAGUCGGGUGUGAAAGCCCGGGGCUCAACCCCGGAUGCGCAUCCGAGACUGGGUGGCUGGAGUCCGGGAGAGGGCGGCGGAAUUCCCAGUGUAGAGGUGAAAUUCGUAGAUAUUGGGAAGAACACCGGUGGCGAAGGCGGCCGCCUGGUCCGGAACUGACGCUGAGGCGCGAAAGCGUGGGGAGCAAACAGG